rnacentral:pre_miRNA from 1 species
ACUUACUAAUCAUCGAGGGAUCCUGUUAAAAUGUAGCCUCUGAUUUAGUAGGCCGAAGCUGGACCUGAUAUUCUACAUUUUUAACAAGCUCCUAGGUGUGGCCAAU